GCAUAUCAAUAAGCGGAGGAAAAGAAACUAACCAGGAUUCCCCUAGUAACGGCGAGUGAAGCGGGAACAGCUCAAAUUUUAAAUCUGGCCGGCGUGGUCGGUCCGAGUUGUAAUUUGAAGAAGCGGUUAUCACGUUUUCGUUUGGGUUUAAGUUCCUUGGAACAGGACAUCAGAGAGGGUGAGAAUCCCGUCUGUGAUCCAAUCGGUUACGGUACGAUAUCGUUUCUAAGAGUCGAGUUGUUUGGGAUUGCAGCUCAAAAUGGGUGGUAAAUUCCAUCUAAGGCUAAAUAUAGGCGAGAGACCGAUAGCGAACAAGUACCGUGAGGGAAAGAUGAAAAGCACUUUGAAAAGAGAGUUAAACAGUACGUGAAAUUGUUGAUAGGGAAACGAUUGAAGUCAGUCGUGCCAGCGAGAAAUCAGCUUACAGGCUACUGUGGGUGCACUUUUUCGCAAGGCAGGUUAACAUCGAUUUUUGUUGCGUCAUAAUGAUUGUAGGAAGGUGGCUCCUUCGGGAGUGUUAUAGCCUACUUUAGAUGGCGUGAUAGAGAUCGAGGAU
rnacentral:rRNA from 1 species